rnacentral:rRNA from 1 species
AUUGAACGCUGGCGGCAGGCUUAACACAUGCAAGUCGAGCGGAGUGAUGGUGCUUGCACUAUCACUUAGCGGCGGACGGGUGAGUAAUGCUUAGGAAUCUGCCAUUUAGUGGGGGACAACAUUCCGAAAGGAAUGCUAAUACCGCAUACGUCCUACGGGAGAAAGCAGGGGAUCUUCGGACCUUGCGCUAAAUGAUGAGCCUAAGUCGGAUUAGCUAGUUGGUGGGGUAAAGGCCUACCAAGGCGACGAUCUGUAGCGGGUCUGAGAGGAUGAUCCGCCACACUGGGACUGAGACACGGCCCAGACUCCUACGGGAGGCAGCAGUGGGGAAUAUUGGACAAUGGGCGGAAGCCUGAUCCAGCCAUGCCGCGUGUGUGAAGAAGGCCUUUUGGUUGUAAAGCACUUUAAGCGAGGAGGAGGCUACUAGUACUAAUACUACUGGAUAGUGGACGUUACUCGCAGAAUAAGCACCGGC